rnacentral:tRNA from 1 species
GUAGAUGUAGCUCAACGGGACAGAGCGUCUGAUUACGAAUCAGAAGGUCGUAGGUUCGAAUCCUAUUAUCUACA